rnacentral:rRNA from 1 species
UACGUAGGGUGCAAGCGUUGUCCGGAAUUAUUGGGCGUAAAAGAGCUCGUAGGCGGUUUGUUGCGUCGGCUGUGAAAUCCCGAGGCUCAACCUCGGGUCUGCAGUCGAUACGAGCAAACUAGAGUGUUGCAGGGGAGACUGGAAUUCCUGGUGUAGCGGUGAAAUGCGCAGAUAUCAGGAGGAACACCCGGUGGCGAAGGCGG